rnacentral:rRNA from 1 species
UUUGACGUUUAGCGACAGAAGAAGCAACUGGCUAACUCCGUGCCAGCAGCCGCGGUAAUACGGAGGGUGCGAGCGUUAAUCGGAAUUACUGGGCGUAAAGCGCAUGCAGGUGGUUUGUUAAGUUCAGAUGUGAAAGACCCGGGGCGUCAACCUCGGAAUAGCAUUUGAAACUGGCAGACUAGAGUACUGUAGAGGGGGGUAGGAAGUUUCAGGUGUAGCGGUGAAAUAGCGUAGAGAUCUGAAGGAAUACCGGUGGCGAAGGCGGCCCCCUCGGACAGAUACUGACACUCAGAUGCGAAAGCGUGGGGAGCAAACAGGAUUAGAUACCCUGGUAG